AGGACGAACGCUGGCGGCGUGCUUAACACAUGCAAGUGGAGCGACGAACCGGGCUUCGGCCCGGGGCAAAGCCGCGAACGGGUGAGUAUCACGUGGGUAACCUGCCCCGAUGACCGGGAUAACCCGAGGAAACUCGGGCUAAUACCGGAUGUCUUCUCAAUCCAUCAGGGUUGAGAGAAAAGGAAGCUUCGGCCUCCGCAUUGGGAUGGGCCCGCGGCCCAUUAGCUUGUUGAUGAGGUAACGGCUCACCAAGGCAACGAUGGGUAGCUGGUCUGAGAGGACGAUCAGCCACACUGGGACUGAGACACGGCCCAGACUCCUACGGGAGGCAGCAGUGGGGAAUAUUGGACAAUGGGCGCAAGCCUGAUCCAGCAAUGCCGCGUGAGUGAAGAAGGUCUUCGGAUUGUAAAGCUCUUUCGACGGGGACGAUGAUGACGGUACCCGUAGAAGAAGCCCGGCUAACUUCGUGCCAGCAGCCGCGGU
rnacentral:rRNA from 1 species